rnacentral:rRNA from 1 species
UACGUAGGGUGCAAGCGUUGUCCGGAAUUAUUGGGCGUAAAGAGCUCGUAGGCGGCUUGUCACGUCGGCUGUGAAAACCUGGGGCUCAACCCCGGGCCUGCAGCCGAUACGGGCAGGCUAGAGUUCGGUAGGGGAGACUGGAAUUCCUGGUGUAGCGGUGAAAUGCGCAGAUAUCAGGAGGAACACCGGUGGCGAAGGCGGGUCUCUGGGCCGAUACUGACGCUGAGACGCGAAAGCGUGGGGAGCGAACAGG